rnacentral:rRNA from 1 species
UCCGCAGGUGGCUAGAUUAGUUUUUGGUUAAAUACCACGGCUCAACCGGGGAAAAGCCAAAAAUACUGUCUAGCUAGAGGAUGGGAGAGGUAAGCGGAACUGCCGGUGUAGCGGUAAAAUGCGUUAAUAUCGGCAGGAACACCAAAGGCGAAGGCGGCUUACUGGAACAUACCUGACACUCAUGGACGAAAGCGUGGGGAGCAAAAG